rnacentral:lncRNA from 1 species
UUGAUCUCCAGAUUAAACCUCAAGGUUGAGAAACAGUUGUCUGUGAAAAGAAAGGUGUAAUAAACCUAUAUGUGAAAUUAAUGACUGGAUCUUGCAAAGGCAUACACAAAUUAGAAAAAAGAAAAACUCCCAAAGAUUCAUCUCCUCUUCCCAAAGCUUUAUGCCCAGUUUAACAAUGGCCUGGUGAAAGCAAUUUUCUCAAUCAUCCUUGAAAGAGUAAUUCACCCUCUCCCUGCAGGAAACCUCACGCAAAAGGCUCCCUAGAAGUGAACUUCAUACAAGUUCAGUGUUCUUUAACCAAACCUGAAAUUCCAGAAGUCUUGUCUGGGAGUCAAUUUCAAAAUGAGGACAUGUCUUCCCAAGGUACAUGUUUCCAACUAUUGUUAAUUAUUUGGCUCCAGAAUCUAUCAUGUUUAAUGUUGUACAUUCCUGAAUAACUAGAUAAUUUAAGAGACUGGGAACUUAGAGAACCAGCAUCAUCGGAGUGGGUUGGUUGUAGGACACCUAAAUUUCAAAGUCGGCCUCACACAAGAGCUUCCAAAUAAAUGAGGAUUCUGUGGUGGUCCUCGGCAAUAAGCAUCUGUUAGCUGCUUUUGACACUCCUCUUUUCUCUUUGUAUCUCCUCACGUUCCCCAGCCUACCCAACAGACCUGAAAUGAGAAGUCAGCCUAACCAAACGCUUCUCUUGCUUGUUGCUGCUUUCUGAGCUCCCAGCUUUAUUCAUGGAGCUUUUCCUGACCCUGUCAACUGGAAAUAAUUCCUCCUGUAACUGAACUUCCAUAAUCCUGUUGAGUGACAUCUUCACAAUCAUGUUAUGCAUAUGUUAUCACCCAUGCUCGACCAUAAGCUGCUUGAGGGCAGAACUAAUUCAUCUUUCUAUCACUCAAUUGUUAGAAAGAUGAUAGAGUCACUCAGAUAAUACUUGUUGAAAGAAUAAUGAGUGAUUGAAUGUAAACUGGCAGGAGUGCUUGAACAUAACCUCUAAGUACUAUUACAGAGGCCGAAGUGAGAGAAAGCAGUUAAGAGGGAAAGAAACGACCAGGGCUUUUACUGCUCUCGCGUACUGUCUACGGAAUGCCAAUCUCCCCCGCACUGUGAGCCCCAGAAAGGCAAGCAUCUCAUUGUUCUCAUCCGUGACAUCCCCGGCCUCCUAGUAUGGUAACUUGCACAUAAUACACAAUAAAUACUUGUUGGAUAAAUAAUAUAUUUAAAAAGCAAGGACUCUGUAUACAACGUAAUUCUUUGGGCAAAAAAGGGAAAUUUUAGAGAUAUCAAAAGAAGAUAAGAUAAAUAAAAC